rnacentral:rRNA from 1 species
UAAUAAUUAAUAUUUAAGUUAUUAAUAAUUUAAUUGGGGCGAUAAAAAAAGAAUAAGUAUCUUUUUAGUUAUAAAAUAAGUUCCGUUUUUAACGAUYAAAUGAAAUAAAUACUCUAGGGAUAACAGCGUAAUAAUUUUGGAUAGUUCAUAUAGAUAAAAUAGUUUGCGACCUCGAUGUUGGAUUAGGAU